GGGGCUGUAGCUCAGCUGGUUAGAGCGCUUCCCUGUCACGGAAGAGGCCAGGGGUUCGAAUCCCCUCAGCCUCGCCC
rnacentral:tRNA from 2 species